rnacentral:rRNA from 1 species
UUUAAGGGCCGCGGUAUUUUGACCGUGCUAAGGUAGCAUAAUCAUUAGUUUUUUAAUUGAAAGCUGGAAUGAAGGGUUGAAUGAAAAAAUAACUGUCUUUAAUUAAUUUAAUUAGAAUUUUAUUUUUAAGUUAAAAAGCUUAAAUUUAUUUGAAAGACGAGAAGACCCUAUAGAGUUUAAUAUAGUAGUAGUUUUAAAUUUUAGGAUUUAUAUUUUUAAUUAGAUAUUAUAUUUGGUUGGGGUGAUUAAAAAAUUUAAAUAACUUUUUUUUUAUUUAAAUAUAAAUUAAUAGGUAAAUGAUCCAAUUUUUUUGAUUAUAAGAUUAAAUUACCUUAGGGAUAACAGCGUAAUUUUAUUGGAGAGUU